AUGCAGGAUAAAAACAUGUCGCUGAACCUCAUACCUGCCGCUGGAAUGAAGUUCACCACGUACGCCAAGGCAUGGGACUUUUACAACAAUUAUGCAAGAUGUGCAGGGUUUGGCAUACGCAAGAGGGCAAAACAUAGGACAAAUGCCUACAUUGUCUGCUCAAGAGAAGGGAUGCACAAGCAGACUGUAUCAGAUUAUCAACGGAAACGUCAGAAGACAUAAAAAAGGAUUGACUGCAAGGCAAAAAUUAGAGUAAAAAAGAGGAAGGAUGGCAAAUUUGUGAUAGAAAUGGUUGAACUCAACCAUAAUCACAAGAUGCUGGAAAGCCCCGGGAUGCUUUUGCACAUGCGAUCGCACAAAAGAGACAAUCCUUUGAUUGACCAGUUAGUGAAAGACAUGCAACUAGACAACCACACACACGCUCAGAUGAUGUCAACGAUGUGACAUAUGUCCGGUGGUCUGCAGUACAUGGGACAUACUAGCCGCGACUGGGUAAACAAGAAACAGAAGUUUGCCAGAGAAGAGUCCCAAGAUGACGUCAAGAAACUUCUGGAUUUCUUCGAGAAGAUGCAGAAGAUAAACCAAGAGUUCUUCUAUGAUUAUGACGUUGAUGCAGAUAACCGUGUAAGAAACGUCUUUUGGGCCAAUGCAAGUUGCAAAGGAUCGUAUGAAGAUAUUGGAGACUGCGUUACAUUUGACACGACAUAUAAAACUAACAAAUUCUGCAUGCCGCUGGGAGUCUUUGUGGGAGUGAACCAUCAUCUAUAGAGCACCAUAUUUGUUGUUGCCCUCGUGCGAGAUGAAACAAUACCGUCGUUCGAGUGGGUUUUCAAAACAUUCCUGAGGUGUAUGAACAACAAGCCGCCAAAUUGCAUGCUCACAGACCAGUGUUCUUCAAUGAAGGCAGCAUUAAAAACUAUCCUCCCAGAUACACUGCAUAAGUUGUGUCGGUGGCAUAUCAUGAAGAAGUACAAAGACCACCUCGCCUUGCUGUAUAAGGCGCACGAGAAACUCAAGGAUGACCUUAAUGCGGUGCUGAACCACCCACUAAUGCCGUCAGAAUUUGAACGAGCAUGGAAGGACCUCAUUCAGAAAUACAACUUGCAAAACGACGAAGUGAUGAAUUCGCUAUGGGAUGACAUGCACGAGUGGAUCUCGGCUUACUACAAGGAAAUUUUCUGUCCUCGGAUGACUUCCACGUAG
rnacentral:rRNA from 1 species